rnacentral:rRNA from 1 species
CGUCAAAUCAUCAUGCCCCUUAUGUCCUGGGCUACACACGUGCUACAAUGGCCGGUACAAAGGGAAGCGAAGCUGCGAGGCCAAGCGGAUCCCACAAAGCCGGUCUCAGUUCGGAUUGCAGGCUGCAACUCGCCUGCAUGAAGUCGGAAUCGCUAGUAAUCGCAGGUCAGCAUACUGCGGUGAAUACGUUCCCGGGCCUU